AUUGAACGCUGGCGGCGUGCUUAACACAUGCAAGUCGAACGGAGUGGCGAACGGGUGAGUAACACGUGGGUGAUCUGCCUUGCACUUCGGGAUAAGCUUGGGACACUGGGUCUAAUACCGGAUAGUGCAAGAUGCGCUCGCGGCCUAUCAGCUUGUUGGUGGGGUAAUGGCCUACCAAGGCGUCGACGGGUAGCCGGCCUGAGCGGGUGUACGGCCACAUUGGGACGUAGAUACGGACCAGACUCCUACGGGAGGCAGCAGUGGGGAAUAUUGCACAAGGGGCGGAAGCCUGAUGCAGCGACGCCGCGUGGGGGAGGAAGGCCUUCGGGUUGUAAACUCCUUGCGACAGGGACGCGGUACCUGUAUAAGGAGCACCGGCUAACUACGUGCCAGCAGCCGCGGUAAUAC
rnacentral:rRNA from 1 species